rnacentral:rRNA from 1 species
CUGGGCCUACGGGGGGCAGCAGUGAGGAAUAUUGGUCAAUGGGCGAGAGCCUGAACCAGCCAAGUCGCGUGAGGGAGUACUGCCCUAUGGGUUGUAAACCUCUUUUGUCGGGGAGCAAAGGCCGGACGUGUCCGGCUGUGAGAGUACCCGAAGAAAAAGCAUCGGCUAACUCCGUGCCAGCAGCCGCGGUAAUACGGAGGAUGCGAGCGUUAUCCGGAUUUAUUGGGUUUAAAGGGUGCGUAGGCGGGCUGUUAAGUCAGCGGUCAAAUGUCGGGGCUCAACCCCGGCCUGCCGUUGAAACUGGG